GAAGUUAUAGGUUAAAUACUAUAAAACCAUGGGCCUUCAAAGCCUGGAAUGAGUGAGUCUAACUUUG
rnacentral:tRNA from 1 species